GGACCCAGAGUGGCUGGCACUGAAGAAGUUACGCCAUGCCAAGCGUUCAGCGGCUCACAUCACUGAGGCAAGCUGGAACUUGAUGAUGAGGCAUGCCUGCAGUUUCAUACUGAAGAAACCUGCUCGCAUGACCUGGCUCGUCUACUGACGCAACUAGCAGCCAAGAAGUUGGAGACGCCAAGAGCGCACAGAAAGGGUUUGAGCAUUCGCACAAACCAGUAUGACCACACGGGCACUUUUGAUUGCAAUCAGCCAGGGCGUAUGCGCCGAACUCGAUCCAGCACAGCAGCAACAGACCUGUCGAUCUCGAUCAAAAGUAUUUGAGUGACACCUGUAUAAGUCGCCGCUAACUGCCUAAACUAAUCAGAUCAAAUACGGUGCAGGCGUCAUCUAACUGCGAUAUAAAAGGGUACAACAUAGCAAAU